GGUUAACUAGCAGGUUAACUAGCAGGUUAACUAGCAGGUUAACUAGCAGGUUAACUAGCAGGUUAACUAGCAGGUUAACUAGGAGUGGACGUGGCUCAUGAUGACCACGGCGUGAACCAACUCGGCAAGGGACCAGCAGUCCUCACCGGGAAGCAACAGCCGCUGGGGCGAGAGGUAACCAGGUUAACUAGCAGGUUAACUAGCAGGUAACCAGGUUAACUAGCAGGUAACCAG